UACGUAGGGUGCAAGCGUUGUCCGGAAUUACUGGGCGUAAAGAGCUCGUAGGCGGUUUGUCGCGUCGUCUGUGAAAUCCCGCAGCUCAACUGCGGGCUUGCAGGCGAUACGGGCAGACUUGAGUACUGCAGGGGAGACUGGAAUUCCUGGUGUAGCGGUGAAAUGCGCAGAUAUCAGGAGGAACACCGGUGGCGAAGGCGGGUCUCUGGGCCGAAAUUGACGCUGAGGAGCGAAAGCGUGGGGAGCAAACAGG
rnacentral:rRNA from 1 species